AAUGAGAACUGUUGUGCAGGAAAAUGACCUAUGAAUUGACAGACUGUGUAUUCUAAGCUUGUCUGUCAUUUCUGUAGGCCAAUAUUCUGCACACCUUCACUGCUCU
rnacentral:pre_miRNA from 14 species